UACGGAGUGUGCAAGCGUUACUCGGAAUCACUGGGCAUAAAGGGCGUGUAGGCGGGCUUUCAAGUCGGUUGUGAAAUCCCUCAGCUCAACUGAGGAACUGCAUCCGAUACUGUUUGUCUUGAGGACGAGAGGGGAGAGUGGAACUUCUGGUGGAGCGGUGAAAUGCGUAGAUAUCAGAAGGAACGCCGGUGGCGAAAGCGGCGUUCUGGACUGCAACUGACACUGAGGAACGAAAGCCAGGGGAGCAAACGGG
rnacentral:rRNA from 1 species